GGGGGGAGCAAACGUUGUUCGGAAUCACUGGGCGUAAAGGGCGCGUAGGCGGCCCCGCAAGUGGUGUGUGAAAUGCCCUGGCUCAACCAGGGAACUGCGCACCAAACUGCGGAGCUUGAGGGCAGUAGAGGAAGCUGGAAUUCCUGGUGUAGCGGUGAAAUGCGUAGAUAUCAGGAGGAACACCGUUGGCGAAGGCGAGCUUCUGGGCUGUUCCUGACGCUGAGGCGCGAAAGCUGGGGGGGAGCAAACAGGAUUAGAUACCCUGGUAGUCCCAGCCGUAAACGGUGAACACUAGGUGUGGGGGGGGUGUCGACCCUUUCCGUGCCGCAGCUAACGCAUUAAGUGUUCCGCCUGGGGAAGUACGGUCGCAAGGCUG
rnacentral:rRNA from 1 species